AGAAUCAACGCUGGCGGCGUGCCUAACACAUGCAAGUCGCACGAGAAAGGGGAGCGAUCCCUGAGUAAAGUGGCGCACGGGUGAGUAACACGUGAAUAAUCUACCUCCGAGUGGGGAAUAACUGAGAGAAAUCUUAGCUAAUACCGCAUAACACUUACGAGUCAAAGCAGCAAUGCGCUUGGAGAGGAGUUCGCGGCAGAUUAGUUAGUUGGCGGGGUAAUGGCCCACCAAGACGAUGAUCUGUAUCCGGCCUGAGAGGGCGCACGGACACACUGGAACUGAAACACGGUCCAGACUCCUACGGGAGGCAGCAGUGGGGAAUUUUGCGCAAUGGGGGAAACCCUGACGCAGCAACGCCGCGUGGAGGAUGAAGCCCCUUGGGGUGUAAACUCCUUUCGAUCGGGAAGAUAAUGACGGUACCGAUAUAAGAAGCCCGGCUAACUUCGCGCCAGCAGCCGC
rnacentral:rRNA from 1 species